rnacentral:rRNA from 1 species
AUGAUAUGGAGCAUCAAUACUACUCCUAACAGGUCUACGAGUUAUACGCCUUUCUUCAUGGUUUACGGAGCUGAGGGGGUUCUCCCUAGUGACAUCCGUCAUGACUCGCCCCGUGUGGCGGCUUAUGUGGAGGCGGAUAAUGAACAAGCGCACCAGGAUGCCCUUAACCUGCUAGAUGAAAAGCGUGACUUGGCAGCAGCUCGCUCAGCGAUUUACCAACAAGACAUGCGCCGCUAUCACAACCGUCGGGUUAAGUCCAGAACCUUUCAAGAAGGUGAUUUGGCGCUCCGGCUCAUCCAGGAUCAAACUGAUGUGCACAAGUUAUCCCCACCUUGGGAAGGGCCCUUUGUGGUCAGCAAGAACUUGAACAACGGGUCAUACUACCUUAUCGAUGUUCGAGAGCACAAAGACUCACGUAAGUCGGAGGAGUAG